UACGUAGGGUGCAAGCGUUGUCCGGAAUUAUUGGGCGUAAAGAGCUCGUAGGCGGUUUGUCGCGUCUGCUGUGAAAACUCGGGGCUUAACUCCGGGCCUGCAGUGGGUACGGGCAGACUAGAGUGCGGUAGGGGAGACUGGAAUUCCUGGUGUAGCGGUGAAAUGCGCAGAUAUCAGGAGGAACACCGAUGGCGAAGGCAGGUCUCUGGGCCGUUACUGACGCUGAGGAGCGAAAGCAUGGGGAGCGAACAGG
rnacentral:rRNA from 1 species